UACAGAGGGUGCGAGCGUUGUUCGGAAUUACUGGGCGUAAAGGGCGCGUAGGCGGCCUGUUAAGUCGAACGUGAAAUCCCCGGGCUCAACCCGGGAACUGCGUCCGAUACUGGCAGGCUUGAAUUCGGGAGAGGGAUGUGGAAUUCCAGGUGUAGCGGUGAAAUGCGUAGAUAUCUGGAGGAACACCGGUGGCGAAGGCGGCAUCCUGGACCGAUAUUGACGCUGAUGCGCGAAAGCCAGGGGAACAAACGGG
rnacentral:rRNA from 1 species